rnacentral:rRNA from 1 species
UCUCCUACGGGGCGCAAGCCUGACCCAGCAACGCCGCGUGAAGGAAGAAGGCUUUCGGGUUGUAAACUUCUUUUAAGAGGGAAGAGCAGAAGACGGUACCUCUUGAAUAAGCCACGGCUAACUACGUGCCAGCAGCCGCGGUAAUACGUAGGUGGCAAGCGUUGUCCGGAUUUACUGGGUGUAAAGGGCGUGCAGCCGGGAAGACAAGUCAGAUGUGAAAUCCCGCGGCUCAACCGCGGAACUGCAUUUGAAACUGUUUUUCUUGAGUACCGGAGAGGUCAUCGGAAUUCCUUGUGUAGCGGUGA